GGAGGGAGGCAGUGGUGACGACUGGCAGUGCGCACAGCAGAGACAGACUGACUUUCAAGGGGCAGGCAGAGUCUGCAGGCAGGAAAUAGCCAUUCAACAGAGCAGAGAUGUAUACACGGCGAAUUAUAAAGUAGUUAUCACAAAGCAGAAGGGGGAGUGUCGCUGGAGGAGCACAACACGCCUGAAUCUCUAAUUCCAGGGGCCGCUGGACCAGGCUUUAGCGCAUGUAGAGAGGAGGAGGAGGAGGAGGAGGAGGGAGGAGGUGGAGGGGGCAGUGAGUGAGUACGUUUCACAGGAUCCAGGCCUAGUAGUAUUGCCGCUGGGACUCUCCUCAUCCGCUUUCAAAAAAUUGGAAAUUGGCACAUUUAAACGCCAAAAUGAGCGCAUUGAGGGUCAUGUUUGCGGUGGCCGACACCGGAAUGGGAGGAGUCAUGCCAGCAUGAGUGGGCCCUACCCAGGCCCUGGCAGGGAGACUCAUCAGUCCAGCCGCCCUUUGACCCCCGGCCGUGACCUCUCAGCCUCUAGACACCAUGACCACAGGAUCGGGCUAACCAUGUCUGCCUCUUCCCUCAAGCAUGCAUCCGUCUAUGGGUUCACACAAAGGGACCACUCCUCCUCCUCUUCCUCUUCCUCCUCCUACAGCCCUCUCAGGAGGCUGCAGCAUCUCACCAGCAUGGUGAGCCAGCCUGACCUGGUCCUGCCGGUGAGGGAGCCAGAGAGGAGCUGGGAGUGGGGCGUGAAUAAGAAGGAGAGGGGGAAGGGGAUGGAGAUGGAGAGGGACUCCUGGGCUGAUUGCACUAGCAGGGAUUAUUCUGGCACCCAGAACACAAGCAGAGAGGAGAGCUUUGGGGGCUCUUCUGCUGAACAGAAACAGCCCGUGGUCCAAACUAGAAGUCAUGAUGUGGCGGCAGCAAAUCGCAGCGAUCCUGUCGUCUCCGAGAAGAAGACAGAAGGUUGUUUCUCGGGCCCGCCCAGCCCGGCCUUCUCUCUGGACAGCAACAGCCCCUUCGCUAACGGCUUCCUCCACUUUGAAUCCUCUUUGUUUGAGGAUGACGACAACGACGAAGAGCAGGAGGCGGUGUCACCUCUGGGAGGAGGCUUGCAGGACAAACACGAGAGGGCGGGGAAUGUUCUCCCGUCCUCUCCUGAACACAUGAAUUCGGACGCCAAGGAUGCUACCCGGUCGUCAGCCAAGGUGGUCACCCGGUCCCAGUCCUCGGGUCAGCGCAGGAGAUACUGGGACGGCUCGGAUGACGAGUGGGAGAGCGGCACCGAGCUGCUCCUGCUUGAGGAUAGUCCUUCAAGGCAUUCAAUGAGCCCAGUGACCGGCCCUGUCGGCUCUACCAUGUCAGGACCUUCGGGGAGCCUGUGGAGCUAGCCUGGGUGGAGGAAAAAUCAACUCACAUUUUCCACGGAGGCUUUGAAUUUGAACAGCUCGCCCUAAUGCACCGGCGGGGGAAGCAAAGGGAGCAGAACUACAAAUACACUAUUGCAAAGCGUUUUCAGGACUCUUGGAAAUCCAGUGUGGCAGAAGCUGAAUCUGUUCUCCAAGAGAGACCCAAAAUGGCUUCUUCCUUUCCUUCGAUCAUAGAUGAUCCCUUCCACGACAGUUCCACACCGGAGAGAGAAAACAAGGCCUAUCCGACCUUUCCUCCCUCCACUUCAUCCACCCUUCCUGAGACAUCGCACUUCACCAAUGGGUCCAUUUCAUCACCAAUUACAACUCUAGCAAAGCCAAGCACUUUAAGGAAAUCUUCUGGCAAGAAGAAACCAAGUAAAUCAUCAAAGGACAUUAGUAUUAAACACUCUAAAAAGACAUUGCAUAAUAGCCCUGACCAAUCUGAUAGAGACAAUGGAGAAUGUCCAUAUUCUGAUCUCGACUCAGUUCCUAAGAUUUUGUGUCCUAAAGCACUUGAACGUCAGUCUAAGCUAGUUUCGACUCAGCCAUCUGUCACAGUUGUCAAAGAGAUGAAGAAGCAGCCAGAGAUUCAGACUGGCCUUUGGUUCAGUAAGUCAGGCAAAGACAGACGACCUAAAACAACCAGUCCGAUGCCAGACCGCACUCUUUUUGGUAAGGUGGCCUGUAAGAAAAAGAACUCAACUGCGGUAAGUAAAAAGUUACUGGUACCUAGUUUCUCCUCCAGUGGUGGGCUCAGUGACCAGUCAGUGUUGUCAGACAAGCGUAGAACUCCUGCUGAAACAAAUCUGUCACCUGAACAGCCAGGACGUUUGAAGUGUCUAAACACCCCGGUUGCUAAUAGGCCUUUUGGUACCACUGGCAAUCACACUGACCAGUCAGGGUUUUCAGACAAGCAUAAGACUGUGGCACCUGCUGAAACAAAUUUUCCACCAAAAGAGCCGGAACAUUCUAAGAGUAAAAACACCAAGGUUGCUAAUAGGCCUUUUGGUACAACUUUCAGUCCUACUGACCAGUCAGGGUUUUCAGAGUUUUUAAACAAACAGAGGUCGCUGGUCUCUGUUGAGACUGGGGUGCCCUCAGACAAGUGUCGAUAUUCAAAGGCUAGAAAGACAGUCGAUAAUACAAUGGAAACUGUUACUGUCUCACCAUCGGACCAAUUAGGUAGUGCAGAUGUUAAAAAUGCCUUAGAGCCCAGCCCAGUCAUUUUCAAUGAUCAAACCAGGUUGAGUGUAAAGAGAUUCAGUCAAACUCAACACUCAGAUGAGAUGGCUACUAAAAAGGUCCAUGUAAUUGACAGUUCUGACCAAGCAGAAGAAACGGAAAGUAAAGAAUUGAGUGUAAAGAGAGUCAGUCAAGCUCGACAUUCAGACAAGAUUGCUAAUAAAAAGGUCCAUGUAAUUGACAGGAGCUCUGACCAAGCAGAAGAAAAAGAAAGUAAAGAAUUGAGUGUAAAGAGAGUCAGUCAAACUCGACAUACAGACAAGAUGCCUAAUACAAAGAUCCAUGUAAUUGACAGGAGCUCUGACCAAGCAGAAGAAAAAGAAAGUAAAAA